UACAGAUUCCUGAGCGUGACCUCAGAAGAUACAGAUUCCUGAGCAUGACCUCGAAGAUUCCAACCCACGAGGCCUGAGGAGGAGCCCAAGAAGUGUCCUAUUUAACAAGCAAGCUGUCACUGGGUGCCUUCAGCGAGCUGGAUGAUGUUAUGAGUUAUGCUGGGGCUGUGGAGAUAAAGAAGAUGAAGAAUUUUCCCUGAGGAAAUUCAAAUUGCAGAAAAGAGGAUUAAGAGGCAAAGGGAACAAAAGCAAAAAUAAACAAGUGGGACUACAUGAAUCUAGAAAUAUUCUGCACAGCAAAGGAAACCAUCAACAAAAUGAAAAGGU